AUUGAACGCUGGCGGCAUGCCUUACACAUGCAAGUCGAACGGCAGCACGGGUGCUUGCACCUGGUGGCGAGUGGCGAACGGGUGAGUAAUACAUCGGAACGUACCUUAUCGUGGGGGAUAACGCAGCGAAAGCUGUGCUAAUACCGCAUACGCCCUGAGGGGGAAAGCGGGGGAUCGCAAGACCUCGCGCGAUUAGAGCGGCCGAUGCCUGAUUAGCUUGUUGGUGGGGUAAAAGCCCACCAAGGCGACGAUCAGUAGCUGGUCGGAGAGGACGAUCAGCCACACUGGGACGGAGAAACGGCCCAGACGCCUACGGGAGGCAGCAGUGGGGAAUUUUGGACAAUGGGGGCAACCCUGAUCCAGCAAUGCCGCGUGAGUGAAGAAGGCCUUCGGGUUGUAAAGCUCUUUUGUCAGGGAAGAAACACCGGCUCUAACACAGUCCGGGAAUGACGGUACCUGAAGAAUAAGCACCGGCUAACUACGUGCCAGCAGCCGCCGUAA
rnacentral:rRNA from 1 species